GAAGGGCUGUAGCUCGGUGGCAGAGUUUCUGCUUUGCAUGCAGAAGGUCAUUGGUUCAAUUACCAGCAUUUUCA